UUCUUGGAGGCCUUGUCGAGGUCCUCUCCCAUCUUUCACUGUGCUCUCCUUUUGGGCGAAAGCUCUAGUUCCCCUUGUGGGCGACAGCGUCGUACCCUCGUCGUGCUCCUUCUUGAAGGCGUCGCCUCGGGUUCCCGGAAGCACGGUGGGCGCUUUGCGGUGUGUGUGAGGUGUUUGGCGGCGGCAAUGUGUGCAACGUUUCAUCUAUUCUACCGCCGGUCUUCAUCUUGUGAUAGCGCUCCUUCGGCUUGGAGAUGGACUGGCAUAGGUGGUGGUCGUCAUUUGGCGUCAUGGUGGCGUCGACGGCGGAGGAACCUGCCAAGGUUGGUACCUCAAUCUGCUCUGAAGAUGGACAAGUGAAAGAUGGUGGCGACGACACAUGUGAGUGCGUCGGACUGGAUUGUGCCCCAGACCCGGUACGUGGCUCGGUCGGGGCUUCCAGCUUUAGAUGUUAGGCUUAGGUGAGAGGACUGGGUAUAUGGCCCAGCUUGCACCCCUUCAUCAUAUGGAUAGGAGUAGCGGCAUAGGUUGCCAAGAUGGCGGAUUCAGACAUAUUGUUGUACUACUUUGUAAGGUCCUCGAGAAUAAUCAAUAAAAUGACCGCAUGCAUCUCCCAGAUGCAGAGGCCGGGGGUCAUCCUCCUUUUCUAAAAAAAAA
rnacentral:lncRNA from 1 species